GGCGAUUGGGGUUUGAUCCUGGCUCAGAGCGAACGCUGGCGGCAGGCUUAACACAUGCAAGUCGAGCGGGCGUAGCAAUACGUCAGCGGCAGACGGGUGAGUAACGCGUGGGAACGUACCUUUUGGUUCGGAACAACACAGGGAAACUUGUGCUAAUACCGGAUAAGCCCUUACGGGGAAAGAUUUAUCGCCGAAAGAUCGGCCCGCGUCUGAUUAGCUAGUUGGUGAGGUAACGGCUCACCAAGGCGACGAUCAGUAGCUGGUCUGAGAGGAUGAUCAGCCACAUUGGGACUGAGACACGGCCCAAACUCCUACGGGAGGCAGCAGUGGGGAAUAUUGGACAAUGGGCGCAAGCCUGAUCCAGCCAUGCCGCGUGAGUGAUGAAGGCCCUAGGGUUGUAAAGCUCUUUUGUGCGGGAAGAUAAUGACGGUACCGCAAGAAUAAGCCCCGGCUAACUUCGUGCCAGCAGCCGCGGUAA
rnacentral:rRNA from 1 species